CUCUCUCUCUCUCUCUCUCUCUCUCUCUCUCAAUGAUUUUAGGAGUGAAAUGUGAUCUACAGUAGAGAUCACAUGUGAUUUAGUCAGACGUUGAUGUUAAGGAAUAGUGAGGAUAUCUGAUUUUGGUUAGUAAAAAAGAUGCAGAUGCAGAAUGCUUUACCUGACUCUACAUUCUCCCCUAAGGGAGAGAGGAUGGGGUUUUGUCCGGGUCCUGCUGGUAAAGUGCAUAAAAAUCUGCCUGUUUAUUUAUGGCUGCAGUCUAAUUGUAUGGAUAAACUGCGCUGUGAGGAGCAGGGCCAGUGACAUGUUUACUGUUCACCGGAUGGCUUGUCUCAGAUCAGACCCCGUGGCCAGUCACAGGUGCAGAGUUUUACAUGAGCACAGAUUUAUUAGUAACCUGCUGGCUAAACCUGUGUAAGCUACUCUGCCCUCUGCUGGUCAUCGGCUCAGGUUUAACUUUCCGAGUCUGAGCUGUUUGCCUUCUUGACCAACUAUGUGCAGGUUCUGAAUGGAGAACCAGCCUCAACAGGUUCACCUAGCAAGAUUUUUCCUUUGACAAGUGAUUCUCAGGCGGGUUGGGGAGAAGGCGAUUUUGGCAAAGACUAUUGUGAAUAAAAUUUGCCCCUUUUGAAGUUUUAUCUUCUCUGCUUUCUUUCCUCAGCCUCCGUCGAUCAGGUUCUCAUUUUUUCGCCAAACUGCAAGCCUGUCUUCGAGUGAAUAAAUCUGAUGGCAGUCAACCCCAGCCCACACUGUAACGGCCGUCGUUUUUCCUGCCAGUUCACGAGUGUGAGUCGAAGUGUCCUGUUGUGACCCGGUGAGAGACAGAGUGGGAUAUUGAAAUCUGGAGACAGGUCAGGGAUUUUCCCUCCAUUCUUCAGGUCUUAUUUAGAGGCAAUCAUAAAUUACGCUCACGAACAUUAUCAAGAACAGGACGGCACAUUAAUCCAGAAUAGCACCUUAUCUGAAGCUUGCCAGGAAGUAUGAGCAUCGCGCUUACAUAUGUACCGAGGUGCGGGCACCCGUCAGCUGCAACAUGAGCCACCGUGGGAGGGACGUGAAAUGUGGCCAUGGUUCUCGGUGGCUUUAAUGCCGUUACGAGGAGGCAGAAACAGGGCCGACCCCGGGGGCCUCCAGGGCCCAGUAAGCCAGUGGCAGGUCCACUUCAUCACCUCUCCUCCGAAUGAACUCUGGCUGAACCCCUCUGCUGUGGUUAUUUUCGCUGGCAUCUGCCGCUCCACGGCCGCCGACAUGAGAUGGAAUUUCAUUCAAAAAUGGAGAGUAUCCGGUUGA
ensembl:lncRNA